rnacentral:misc_RNA from 1 species
UUUCCGUAGGUGAACCUGCGGAAGGAUCAUUAUAAAUGAAAAACGAAUAACUUCAGGGAAGAAGGGAACCUGCACGGUGACCUCCCCUGUCGGGCUACCCAAUACCUUCAAAAUGCCGCCGUCCUAGCGGUGGCAGACGAAAAAAAAAACAAGAAAAACAAAAUAGAAACAGGCACGGUGGCCCGUUCACCUUCACACAACCCUCCGAGUACCGCUUCCAUGUUGCUUCCCCGCAAAUCCACCUCUUUGGUGAGCGCGGGGGAGGUCCGCAUCAAAUUCACCUGAAUGUCACAGCAGUCAGACAGCCAUUCAUGGAAACAAUAAAACUUUCAACAACGGAUCUCUUGGUUCCC